GACGAACGCUGGCGGCGUGCUUAACACAUGCAAGUCGAACGAAGAGCGAUGGAAGCUUGCUUCUAUCAAUCUUAGUGGCGAACGGGUGAGUAACGCGUAAUCAACCUGCCCUUCAGAGGGGGACAACAGUUGGAAACGACUGCUAAUACCGCAUACGAUCUAAUCUCGGCAUCGAGGAUAGAUGAAAGGUGGCCUCUACAUGUAAGCUAUCACUGAAGGAGGGGAUUGCGUCUGAUUAGCUAGUUGGAGGGGUAACGGCCCACCAAGGCGAUGAUCAGUAGCCGGUCUGAGAGGAUGAACGGCCACAUUGGGACUGAGACACGGCCCAGACUCCUACGGGAGGCAGCAGGGGGGAAUCUUCCGCAAUGGACGAAAGUCUGACGGAGCAACGCCGCGGGAGCGAUGACGGCCUUCGGGUUGUAAAGCUCUGUUAAUCGGGACGAAAGGCCUUCUUGCGAAUAGUGAGAAGGAUUGACGGUACCGGAAGAGAAAGCCACGGCUAACUACGUG
rnacentral:rRNA from 1 species